CCUGGCGGCCAUAGCACCGUGGAACCACCUGAUCCCAUGCCGAACUCAGAAGUGAAACGCGGUAGCGCCGAUGGUAGUGUGGCAUUCGCCAUGCGAGAGUAGGACACUGCCAGGC
rnacentral:rRNA from 2 species